rnacentral:lncRNA from 1 species
AAUUUGUUGAACCAUCUAAUAUGGAAGUAGAAGCUGCAGUUGUGUUAUGCGGUGAAGAUCUUUUCUUGUUCUUCAAUGAUUUCAUCUGAUCUUUUAUUUGCUUUUCAAUCUGCACUCGCAUUUGCUCUUGCAUUUGCUCUUGCAUUUGCUCCAUGUCUUCUUUCAUUUUGAUCCGAUUUUGCUCUAAUAUUUGUUCAACCUCCUCUAAAGAAAACAUAGUUUGAGAAGGUCCUCCAGGAUGAGCUGAUGUACAUGAGAAAGAGGUAGUUGGAGUUCCUGAUUUUGCAGUAUCAGAAGAUCCAAAACCAUAAACCCUCCCUUUACUACUUCCAGAAAUUUCAAUCCACUUAUUCAAAUCAAAAGUAGACUGACUCUCACAAUUGUCAUUCACAUUCUCAGCAAUGGCACUCAAAUAAGCUCCCUAAGUAAAAAAAGAAAACAUAAUAAAUAUUUCAUUAACCAUACACAACUA